CUACAUAUUGAAUAGCCCAAAUGAGAACAACUUAGACAUAAAUGAAACAGAAAAAGACUUAAGAAAAAGUAGCAACAAAGAACAAAAGUUCAAACAUUUGGUACAUUAUCUACACCAUUAAUGUAUGGUGUUUGCAUCAGUUGCUUUCAAAAAAUCAACCGUUAUUAUAACUUUAAAAAUGUUUCAAUGAUUUUGCAUAAAUAGCAUGAAGUCAAAUUUCAAGUACAGGAGCUGCACAAUUAUCUCAAGGUAUUAGUAGAACAACCAGAUGUUAGAAAACUGAAGCUUAAUAAUAAAUAUCCAAAAGACAUUAUGAAAAUUUUCUGGUCAUGUAUAGGAUAAACCAUAAUUUAUUGACUUGGUAAUCAACUGAGAGUAAGUUGUCUUCUUCUCUUGUCUCUCUAAGGCCCACUUGAUUGCCAUGUCCUCGCCUAGUAAUUACCUUUGUGGUUUUCCUUCCUGUGUGCAACAAUCCUACAUCAAUCAUGGAAUAAUCAUCUAGAAUUUUGUUCUGCUUGUUCUUUAUUGCUAUGUUCAGAGACUCUCCACUUAAAGGACUUCACAAUCAAUACAAGAGAAGAAUCAGAUGUACACCAAGCGUUGUGUUCUAAAACAAUAGAAGAAAACCAGUUUGGCUACUAGUAGAAGAUGCAGGAAGAUAAAAGUGGGCUCAUUCAGAAGAACUCUAUUCAAAUAUUAAAUAUUUUGCUUUUCUGAAAUAAAAAAACAUGUUUACGAUGAUAAUCUUGAUAGCGACUUGUAAGACAGCACAAGAAAGACAGCCAUAAAAACUUAACAAAUAUAUAGAAACCUGGUCCUCUCCAAUUGACAUAACAUAGAUGGAUGGCAUAACCAUUUACUGCAAAAAUGCAUAUGAUCAAAUAGCAGAGAGAAAAAUUCCCAUAAUAGUUACCUAUUUGAAGAACACAACUGCAAUGCUAGAAGUUCAAAAAACACCGACCUCAAUUAAUUUCAAUUGCAUUACACUGGUUUCGAAUUAUACAUUAAACUACCAAUUAAAACAUGUUUUUUUCUGAAAUAAGAAAACAUGUUUACGAUGAUAAUCUUGAUAACAACUUGUAAGACAGCACAAGAAAGACAGCCAUAAAAACUUUAUAACAAAUAUAUAGAAACCUGGCCCUCUCCAAUUGGCAUAAACAUAGAUGGAUGGCAUAGCCAUUUACUGCAAAAAUGCAUAUGAUCAUAUAGCAGAGAGAAAAAUGCCCAUAAUAGUUACCUAUUUGAAGAACACAACUGCAAUGCUAGAAGUUUAAAAAACACCGUCCUCAAUUAAUUUCAAUUGCAUUACACUGGUUUCGAAUUAUACAUUAAACUACCAAUUAGCAGCAAGAAUUGAAGCAAAUGAGACAAAGUGG
rnacentral:lncRNA from 1 species